rnacentral:ncRNA from 1 species
AUAAUCGGCUAGACUUUAUAAACUUAUACUCUAAUUAAUGUUAAUUUAGAGUUAUUUUAAUAUUGAUUUUUAAUUUUAGGGUGAAAUCAGAAAUUAUUUUUAUUUAAACUCUAAAUUUUAAGAUUUAGUAAACAAACUAGAUUAGUACCUGGUUAGAUAAAAUUUAAAAGAGCAGGAGUAAAGUUAUAUUUAAACUGUAAGAAUAUUGGCAGGUUUUUAAAUUAUCUUUGGAGGCUGAGUAGUGAUUGAGAGCCCUCAUUUUCAACUUUUUCUUUAGGCGCAUGUAUGAUCGUUUAUUUUAUUCUUAAGGAUUGUAAUUUUAGUCUUUGCUAUAAAAAUAGAUAGAUAUCUGGCUUAUGAGAAAGAUUUAAUUUGGCCUACAAUAAUUUAAUUUUUGGAUUCUAGUUUUAGAGACUAGAUGAAAUUGUAAAAGACAGUAAGUUGCUUUUAAUGGGUGACUGAAGUUUAUUUAAAAACGGUACAAAUCAUCCAUCAAUUGCCCAUAGGGGAGUAAGUUGU